UCAAACUUGGUCAUUUAGAGGAAGUAAAAGUCGUAACAAGGUUUCCGUAGGUGAACCUGCGGAAGGAUCAUUACUGAAUUUGGUUGAUUCAUACACUGGUGUUGUGGCUUUCUGCAGUUGCUUUAGUAGAGUAAGGGAGCUUUGCUUCUUUAGCUAGCUAGCAGGCUCCCUCCCUACUAAGGAUACUCAAAUAACAAACUUUUUGGUUUUGCAGCUGGAUUGGUUAUGAGAACAAAAACAAAAAAAACAAAAAACAAAACUUUCAACAAUGGAUCUCUUGGUUCUAGCAUCGAUGAAGAACGCAGC
rnacentral:misc_RNA from 1 species